AGAGUUUGAUCCUGGCUCAGGACGAACGCUUGCGGCGUGCCUAAGAAAUGCAAGUCGAGCGAGGCUAGAGAGCUUGCUCUCGAAACCUAGCGGCGAACGGUCGCGUAACACGUAAGCAACCUGCCCCUAAGACCGGGAUAGCCCGCUGAAAGGUGGAUUAAUACCGGAUGUGGACACAUUGAGACAUCUCUGAUGUGUCUAAAUCAAGUAAUUGGCUUAGGGAUGGGCUUGCGGCCUAUCAGCUAGUUGGUGUAGUAACGGUGCACCAAGGCGACGACGGGUAGCUGGUCUGAGAGGAUGGUCAGCCGGACUGGGACUGAGAUACGGCCCAGACUCCUACGGGGGGCAGCAAUUAGGAAUCUUGCGCAAUGGGGGAAACCCUGACGCAGCGACGCCGCGUGAAGGAUGAAGGCCUUCGGGUCGUAAACUUCUUUUAAGAGGGAAGAAGAAAGUGACGGUACCUCUUGAAUAAGCCCCGGCUAACUACGUGCCAGCAGCCGCGGUAAUACGUAGGGGGCGAGCGUUGUCCGAAGUUACUGGGCGUAAAGCGCGCGUAGGCGGGCUUUUAAGUCGGAUGUGAAAUCUCCACGGCUCAACCGGGAAACCGCAUCCGAAACUGGAAGCCUUGAGGUAUGGAGAGGGAAGUGGAAUUCCUGGUGUAGCGGUGAAAUGCGUAGAUAUCAGGAGGAACACCCGUGGCGAAGGCGGCUUCCUGGCCAUAUCCUGACGCUGAGGUGCGAAAGCUAGGGGAGCAAACGGGAUUAGAUACCCCGGUAGUCCUAGCCGUAAACGAUGAUACUAGGUGUUAGUGGUAUCGACCCCACUAGUGCCGUAGCUAACGCAAUAAGUAUCCCGCCUGGGGAGUACGGCCGCAAGGUUGAAACUCAAAGGAAUUGACGG
rnacentral:rRNA from 1 species